rnacentral:rRNA from 1 species
UAUAGGUCAAGCUACAAAGGGCGCAUGGUGAAUGCCUUGGCAUCAGGAGCCGAUGAAGGACGUGAUAAGCUGCGAUAAGCUUCGGGUAGGCGCACAUAGCCUGAGAUCCGAAGAUCUCCGAAUGAGGAAACUCACAUGGGAAACCCCAUGUAUCAUUAAGUGAAUACAUA